rnacentral:rRNA from 1 species
GAUGAACGCUGGCGGCGUGCCUAAUACAUGCAAGUCGAGCGAACAGACGAGGAGCUUGCUCCUCUGACGUUAGCGGCGGACGGGUGAGUAACACGUGGAUAACCUACCUAUAAGACUGGGAUAACUUCGGGAAACCGGAGCUAAUACCGGAUCAUAUAUUGAACCGCAUGGUUCAAUAGUGAAAGACGGCUUUGCUGUCACUUAUAGAUGGAUCCGCGCCGCAUUAGCUAGUUGGUAAGGUAACGGCUUACCAAGGCAACGAUGCGUAGCCGACCUGAGAGGGUGAUCGGCCACACUGGAACUGAGACACGGUCCAGACUCCUACGGGAGGCAGCAGUAGGGAAUCUUCCGCAAUGGGCGAAAGCCUGACGGAGCAACGCCGCGUGAGUGAUGAAGGUCUUCGGAUCGUAAAACUCUGUUAUUAGGGAAGAACAAAUGUGUAAGUAACUAUGCACGUCUUGACGGUACCUAAUCAGAAAGCCACGGCUAACUACGUG